rnacentral:rRNA from 1 species
ACUCCUGCGGGAGGCAGCAGUGGGGAAUAUUGGACAAUGGGCGCAAGCCUGAUCCAGCCAUGCCGCGUGAGUGAUGAAGGCCCUAGGGUUGUAAAGCUCUUUCACCGGAGAAGAUAAUGACGGUAUCCGGAGAAGAAGCCCCGGCUAACUUCGUGCCAGCAGCCGCGGUAAUACGAAGGGGGCUAGCGUUGUUCGGAAUUACUGGGCGUAAAGCGCACGUAGGCGGAUCGAUCAGUCAGGGGUGAAAUCCCAGGGCUCAACCCUGGAACUGCCUUUGAUACUGUCGAUCUGGAGUAUGGAAGAGGUGAGUGGAAUUCCGAGUGUAGAGGUGAAAUUCGUAGAUAUUCGGAGGAACACCAGUGGCGAAGGCGGCUCACUGGUCCAUUACUGACGCUGAGGUGCGAAAGCGUGGGGAGCAAACAGGAUUAGAAACCCGAGUAGUCCCAUGAU